UUUAACGUAAAUGUUGAAAAUUUAGCGGUAUUGAAAUACGGAAAAAUUACGGGUACUUCGCUCCUAAAGGUAUGGUACGACCUUACUGCGACGAAUGUCACCUUGGUGGAUCUGGAAUCUUGUUAUACCCAUCGCAGGAAUUUGGAUGCCGACGACUCACGAUCAUCCUCGGAAUCAAUCGUGGGAUAAAAAUGCAAUUGGGAAAACUUAAUGAAAAUAGAGUUUUCCAUCAUAAAAACCGUGAAAAUAGCGGGACAAAAGUUGAUCACAUGUGUUCAAGAAAACCGGCUGUACAGGAAAACCGCGGGAAACCGAAUUACGAUUUAUAUUAUAUUUUGCCACACAAGAUGACUCUUCAUUUAACAAGGCUUCCCAAAUUUUAGGCAUUUGUGGUUCUUUACUGUCUUAAGAUCAACCAGGGCUGAAAAUAAUGAAGGCCAGGGGCUACAACAUAGUCAAUGGAGAACUAGGUAUAACCUAUAAGAAAUCGAACCCUCCAUGGUACUAUCCGGCUAGAAAUCUUUUUAAGUUGGUUUCAUUAGGUAUGUUUACGAUUACAAGCCCCUCGUGACCCACAGGUAAAGCUUAAAAUGUACCUUUUUGUUAUGUAAAUUAUAAAAUUAGAGGUUAAAUGUUAACGGAGCAAAAUUAUCGUAUAUUACAUAUUAAGUUUUCCUAUAAAAUACUGCCUGGGCUAACCUUUAUUACUAUAAAAUAAAGACAAAAUCUUGUAACUUCGUUACAUCGGAGAGAAAUAUACUGUUCAAUAUCUGUUUCUUGGAUAAAUUCUGCUUUAUUUACAUGUUGAAGUCAAUGGACACCACUUUCGAUACUAGAGCGCCACUAAUCCUCAUUUAUUUCGAGAAAAAAUUGCGCGGCGACCUCAAGAACCUAAUGUAUGGGCUGGUAUCCUGGGAAAUAAUUUUAUUGGCCAUUUUACUAAUACAAAUCUUAAUGCUGAAAAUUACUUAGAACUUCUGCAGGACGCAAUUAAUCCCAGAAUAACUGAGUUUCUUCAACAAGAUGAUAACCUUCUAGAAAAUAAACUAAUGCUUCGAUUUCACCAUCACAUUAUGCUGCUGCCAUUCGUCAUUUUUUUGAACGACGUAUUUUCUGGAUGAUGGAUUGGUCGGAGAGGUACAGUAGAAUGGCUUGCUAGAUUUUCUGAUCUUACCCCCUUGGAGUUUUUUUGGGAUCAUCUAAAAAUCAAAGUCUUUGCCACAAAGAUUGAAUUGAACAAUUAACCUUGGGGAUAAGUAGAAUUGUUAACGAAUAAUAACAAAUAAUGAAAUUGUUAAAAACAAGUGAAGUCAACGAAGGUCAUUUUUAAAAUUUAAUAAAAUAGGUGUUAAACGGUUUUAAUUUUUUCCUUUAACAUAAGGUUAAUUGUUUUCAUGCACAUUUAUUCAUAUUUCUUAAAAAAAUUAGAAAUAGGGAUAUGUAGAGAAUAAAAUAACUUUCAAUUCAAGAUAUUACUCGACCAUUUAAAUGAAAUUACAUAGAGGC